rnacentral:tRNA from 1 species
GGGGGUUUAGCUCAGUGGUAGAGCGCUUGCCUAGCAAGCGCAAGGCUCUGGGUUCGGUCCCCAGCUCCG